rnacentral:misc_RNA from 1 species
CAACAAGAUUGAAUCCAAAAAUCCGAAAUGGACAGUGAUCUUAUCUCCCUACACCCUUCGGCAGCCUCUCGUUCACGAACCCCACGUCGGCAGAAUCUUCCUCGACGUCGUCGUACGAUAUUUAGCGGAGCGACUUCUCCAUGCCAUCGAGAUGGAUUCGAGGGUCAACGAAUUGAGGACCUGGCUGUUAAAUAUGGUAUUUGGUCUCCGGUGACCUCAACUUGAGAUAUCGAGAUGAGGUGCAGAGGAGGUUGAUGGACCAGGCCUC